GAUGAAGAACGCAGCGAAAUGCGAUACGUAAUGUGAAUUGCAGAAUUCAGUGAAUCAUCGAAUCUUUGAACGCAUAUUGCGCUCUCUGGUAUUCCGGAGAGCAUGCUUGUUUGAGUAUCAGUAAACACCUUAACUUCCAUAUCUUUUUUGAAAUGGGAGUUGGACUUGAGUGAUCCCAACGCUUUUCCUCACCGAAAAGUGGCGGGUUACUUGAAAUGCAGGUGCAGCUGGACUUUUCUCUGAGCUAUAAGCAUAUCUAUUUAGUCUGCCUAAAAAACAGAUUAUUACCUUUGCUGCAGCUAACAUAAAGGAGAUUAGUUCUUGUGCUGACUGAUGCAGGAUUCACAAAGACAGGCUUCGGCCGACUUUGUAAACUCGAUCUCAAAUCAAGUAAGACUACCCGCUGAACUUAAGCAUAUCAAUAAGCGGAGGA
rnacentral:misc_RNA from 1 species